rnacentral:tRNA from 1 species
UGGCUCAGACAGUAAAGUGUCUGCCUAUAAUGCAGGAGGCCCAGGUUCAAUCCCUGG